rnacentral:lncRNA from 1 species
AGACGGGAACUUCUGGGCCCAAGUUGUAAUAGGUUGAAAGAUAGCUUAAAAAAUCCGUUAUUUUUUUCUACUAAAUCAUUUAAAAAAUCAGCUCAAUUCACAAUCUGGAAGAUGAGAAAUGUAAAAAAUAAGAUAAGAUCAAAAAUAAAAUAGUGACAUGACACUGACAGCAGUCCCGGCGACCGGCGCAUGCGUUUAAAAACUUUGUUAAUUGUUUACACGUUUGACUUUUGGCUCCUUAGUUUGGAUUUAUUUGCCGGCUUAUCGAUUGGAAAUCGACAUCAUGGAUCUUUGUGUGAACUGUGGCAUAGAAAAGAAAAAGGAAAAAGCAACAACUAGUUAUAAUACCACAGGCAGACGAGUCUUGAAUGACGAAAUGAUUCUCUUAGUGAUUCGUCGAUGGCGUACACCGCAGCCUGUAAACAACAGUGACUAUAUUUGCUAAGCUUGCUGGAACAAACAUCAGCUAUUGAUCAACCAAGACAAUUUGGCCACCGUAAUGUUUGCCUCCGCUGUGGUCGCUCUCUUGCAUCUCAAGUCACUCAUCUGCUUCACAAAGGUUCAUCUUGUGAACUGAGAAUUUAUAAUGCUAUAGAAGAAUGUAUUAUGCCUCGAACUAUAGAACAAGGAAGCCACAUCUGUCAUAAUUGUUGGGUGGCUGCAGACAGAGCUGCUGUCCAUAUUAUGGUCUCAGGCCCAUCAACUUUUUCCCGAGUUCUAACUGAGCCUCCUGCUAGCCAGCGUGAAGAAGAUAGAAACAACAAACCAGAACCUAUUAUUGUAUUACCAGGAUAUAUGAGAGCUGUUCCUCUUUUUACUAGAAGCUCAAUCAUUAUAAGUAUUAUGUUCCUGAGAAUAAUUG